GAGAGAGACAUGCGCGCAUAUCAAUAAGCGGAGGAAAAGAAACUAACAAGGAUUCCCUUAGUAACGGCGAGUGAAGCGGGAAGAGCUCAAAUUUGAAAUCUUCAAGGUUUUACCUUGACGAAUUGUAGUUUAAAGAAGUGUUUUCUGCUGAAGUUUUGGUAAAAGUUCUUUGGAAUAGGACAUCAUAGAGGGUGAGAAUCCCGUAUUUGACCAUUAUUUUCAGCUUUGUGAUACACUUUCAAAGAGUCGGAUUGUUUGGGAAUGCAGUCCAAAAUGGGUGGUAAAUUUCAUCUAAAGCUAAAUAUUGGCGAGAGACCGAUAGCGAACAAGUACCGUGAGGGAAAGACGAAAAGAACUUUGAAAAGAGAGUUAAACAGUACGUGAAAUUGUCAAAAGGGAAGCGUUUGACACCAGUGUUGUUUUCUCGAAAAUCAAUUAAAAAUGGCUCGAUUUUGUAUUGUUGAGACCUUAAAAGCUCACUGUACAUUUUUCGUGUCUUUUUUAAUGCACUUUUCGUUUAGCAAGUCAACAUCAGUUUCUUUUGUUGUAAAAGGGUCAUUGGAAGGUGGCUCUCUUUUCGGAGAAAGUGUUUAUAGCCUUUGGCCUCUGCAAUCGGAGAGACUGAGGUCUGCAGCGUAGACCUCUUCGGGGUUAGAUACAUUUGUGCUAAGUUAUAGCUUUUUAUAGACAACUUGUUGACUAUAAUUAGUCUUGUAGCUUACUCGCUUAUGCUAUUUUACCUACGCUUAGGAUGUUGAAGAUGUAGCACAUCAU
rnacentral:rRNA from 1 species